UGGGGUGUCGACAAGUGGUAAGUCACAAGAUUUUGGAUCUUGCAUUCCCAGGUUCGAAUCCUGGCACCCCAGCCA
rnacentral:tRNA from 1 species